rnacentral:rRNA from 1 species
CACGUAGGGGGCGAGCGUUGUCCGGAUUUAUUGGGCGUAAAGAGCUCGUAGGCGGUUCGGUAAGUCGGGUGUGAAACCUCCAGGCUCAACCUGGAGACGCCACCUGAUACUGCUGUGACUAGAGUCCGGUAGGGGAGUGUGGAACUCCUGGUGUAGCGGUGAAAUGCGCAGAUAUCAGGAAGAACACCAGCGGCGAAGGCGGCACUCUGGGCCGGUACUGACGCUGAGGAGCGAAAGCGUGGGUAGCAAACAGGAUUAGAUACCCUGGUAGUCCACGCCGUAAACGUUGGGCACUAGGUGUGGGUCUCAACCAACGAGAUCCGUGCCGCAGCUAACGCAGUAAGUGCCCCGCCUGGGGAGUACGGCCGCAAGGCUAAA